CACGUAGGGGGCGAGCGUUGACCGGAUUUAUUGGGCGUAAAGAGCUCGUAGGCGGCUCAGUAAGUCAGGUGUGAAAACUCCAGGCUCAACCUGGAGACGCCACCUGAUACUGCUGUGGCUAGAGUCCGGUAGGGGAGCAUGGAAUUCCUGGUGUAGCGGUGAAAUGCGCAGAUAUCAGGAGGAACACCAGUGGCGAAGGCGGUGCUCUGGGCCGGAACUGACGCUGAGGAGCGAAAGCGUGGGGAGCAAACAGG
rnacentral:rRNA from 1 species